rnacentral:rRNA from 1 species
AUUUCUUCGGAAUGAAGAGUGUUGUGACUGAGCGGCGGACGGGUGAGUAACGCGUGGGUAACCUGCCUCAUACAGGGGGAUAACAGUUAGAAAUGACUGCUAAUACCGCAUAAGCGCACAGUGCCGCAUGGCACGGUGUGAAAAACUCCGGUGGUGUAAGAUGGACCCGCGUCUGAUUAGGUAGUUGGUAGGGUAACGGCCUACCAAGGCGACGAUCGGUAGCCGAACUGAGAGGUUGAUCGGCCACAUUGGGACUGAGACACGGCCCAGACUCC